AGUUUCUGCAGUUUGUCAGAAAGCAGCUGUAGUUUCUUGGCUUCCGCUUUGAAGUCCAACCCCUCUUAUCUGAGAGAUCUGGACCUGAGUUACAACAAGCUGAAGGAUUCAGGAGUGAAGCUGUUGUCUGCUCGACUGAGUCCAUACUGUAGACUGGAGACUCUGAGAUUAACUGACUGCUGGCUGUCAGAUAGCUGCUGUUCGUCUCUGGCCUCUGCUCUGAACACCUCCCACCUGAGAGAGCCAGACCAACAGAGUGGAGCUGCUGUCUGCUGGACAGGACAGUCAGUCAGGGCGAGAGAAAACAUGAAUGCCGGCGGCGGCUUUUAAAAAUUUUUCCAAAGAAACUCAGUCUCACUCCGACAACAUUUCAGAGGAAAUCGCUCUAUAAGGAACUUUUGGAAGACAAAAUAUUGCUCCAAGACUUCCUAAAGAAUCACAGCAUUAUUGUUCAAAGGCAAACUGCGGACUGAAAGUAGACGAUAGGGCAGGAAAUUCGGGGGAAUAGGAUGAAACGUUUUAGAGCCUUCAGAUUGUCUGGUUUAUCUCAAAGUGGACUCAUCAUCCACUCAAUGUGUCACUUUCAUUAUCACACCUUCUGUCUGGUUUCAUUACCUGUUAUAUGAACUGUAAAUGAGUUACGUUUGUGUGUUUUAUUUACAGACAAACAUUGGCUGUCAUUUGUUUUGUUGUUUCUGUAAUUUGUUCUAAUUUUCUUGUUUCCCAGAAGCACCUGCAAACGAGUGUCUACUUAUUGAACCUCCAACAAAACCUCUUGAGAGUGAUAAAGGCUCUAAUUAAAUGUGAACUUAAACCUUUGUUACCAUUGAAUUGUGAACACAUGCACAUGACAAUACACAUGACAUCUUAUGACAAAAAGGGCAUAAAAACAUAAAAAAUAUUUUAAAAAAAUAAUAAAAACUUUAUAUCUAUGGUUAGGUCUGAAGU